rnacentral:rRNA from 1 species
AGUGAACGCUGGCGGCAGGCCUAAUACAUGCAAGUCGAACGGCAGCACAGCAGAGCUUGCUCUGUGGGUGGCGAGUGGCGGACGGGUGAGGAAUACGUGGGAAUCUGCCCAGUCGUGGGGGAUAACGUAGGGAAACUUACGCUAAUACCGCAUGCGCCCUUCGGGGGAAAGCCGGGGACCUUCGGGCCUGGCGCGAUUGGAUGAGCCCACGUCGGAUUAGCUAGUUGGCGGGGUAAAGGCCCACCAAGGCGACGAUCCGUAGCUGGUCUGAGAGGAUGAUCAGCCACACUGGAACUGAGACACGGUCCAGACUCCUACGGGAGGCAGCAGUAGGGAAUAUUGGACAAUGGGCGCAAGCCUGAUCCAGCCAUGCCGCGUGAGUGAAGAAGGCCCUCGGGUUGUAAAGCUCUUUUGUCCGGAAAGAAAAGCGCCGGGUUAAUACCCUGGUGUCCUGACGGUACCGGAAGAAUAAGCACCGGCUAACUUCGUGCCAGCCGCCGCCGUAAAAC